rnacentral:rRNA from 1 species
UACGUAGGGGGCAAGCGUUGUCCGGAAUCAUUGGGCGUAAAGAGCGUGUAGGCGGCCCGGUAAGUCCGCUGUAAAAGUCAAAGGCUUAACCUUUGAAUGUCAGUGGAUACUGUCGGGCUAGAGUCCGGAAGAGGCGAGUGGAACUCCUGGUGUAGCGGUGGAAUGCGCAGAUAUCAGGAAGAACACCAACGGCGAAGGCAGCUCGCUAGGACGGUACUGACGCUGAGACGCGAAAGCGUGGGGAGCGAACAGG